AGAAGUUUUAGAAUUAGUUAAAAUAAUUAACUGUUAAUUUGUGUAUAUAAGAUAAUGUAUUAUGAAUAAGUUAAUCAAUCAAUUACAUCAAGUUAAUUACAUUUUUGGUAAUUAACGCAAAUUAAAUUUUCCCUCUUUUCCCUCUUUCUUUCUCCUUCUUCCUAUCCGUUACUGUUAGGUGUUUUCCCCAAUCUUCUUGGGCGAAAAUCCCUAAUCGCAAUCACGCCAAUCUCCUGCAAAGUUCUUGCCGGAGUCAUUCCCGUCGCUCAUCAUCGUCACCACGACCUCCAGCACGGGAUUUUAACA
rnacentral:lncRNA from 1 species